rnacentral:rRNA from 1 species
GACGAACGGCUGGGCGGCGUGCCUAACACAUGCAAGUCGAGCGGAGUCGAUCGACGGAAGCCUUCGGGCGGAAGAUGGUUGACUUAGCGGCGGAUGGGUGAGUAACGCGUGGGCAACCUGCCUCGAAGACCGGGAUAACAGCCCGAAAGGGCUGCUAAUACCGGAUGUGGUCAAGGAUCCGCAUGGAUUUUUGAUUAAAGGGGAAACCCGUUUCGAGAUGGGCCCGCGUCCUAUCAGCUAGUUGGUGAGGUAAAAGCUCACCAAGGCGACGACGGGUAGCCGGCCUGAGAGGGUGACCGGCCACACUGGAACUGAGACACGGUCCAGACUCCUACGGGGGGCAGCAGUGGGGAAUCUUCCACAAUGGGCGAAAGCCUGAUGGAGCGACGCCGCGUGAGCGAAGAAGGCCUUCGGGUUGUAAAGCUCUGUCUGGAGGGACGAAGGAAGUGACGGUACCUCCGGAGGAAGCCACGGCUAACUACGUG